CAACCUGCCGCUUACUCGGGGAUAGCCUUUCGAAAGAAAGAUUAAUACCCGAUGGUAUAAAGAGUUCGCAUGUUCUCUUUAUUAAAGAAUUUCGGUAAGCGAUGGGGAUGCGUUCCAUUAGAUUGUUGGCGGGGUAACGGCCCACCAAGUCUACGAUGGAUAGGGGUUCUGGGAGGAAGGUCCCCCACAUUGGAACUGAGACACGGUCCAAACUCCUACGGGAGGCAGCAGUGAGGAAUAUUGGUCAAUGGACGAGAGUCUGAACCAGCCAAGUAGCGUGAAGGAUGACUGCCCUAUGGGUUGUAAACUUCUUUUAUAAGGGAAUAAAGUGAGGGACGUGUCUCUUUGUAUGUACCUUAUGAAUAAGGAUCGGCUAACUCCGUGCCAGCAGCCGCGGUAAUACGGAGGAUCCGAGCGUUAUCCNGAUUUAUUGGGUUUAAAGGGAGCGUAGGUUGACGUAUAAGUCAGCUGUGAAAGUUUACGGCUCAACCGUGAAANNNNNNUUGAUACUGUAUGUCUUGAGU
rnacentral:rRNA from 1 species